GAUGAACGCUGGCGGCGUGCCUAAUACAUGCAAGUCGAACGAAACUUCUUUAUCACCGAGUGCUUGCACUCACCGAUAAAGAGUUGAGUGGCGAACGGGUGAGUAACACGUGGGCAACCUGCCCAAAAGAGGGGGAUAACACUUGGAAACAGGUGCUAAUACCGCAUAACCAUAGUUACCGCAUGGUAACUAUGUAAAAGGUGGCUAUACUACCGCUUUUGGAUGGGCCCGCGGCGCAUUAGCUAGUUGGUAGGGUAAAGGCUUACCAAGGCAAUGAUGCGUAGCCGAAUUGAGAGGGUGAACGGCCACAUUGGGACUUAGACACGGCCCAAACUCCUACGGGAGGCAGCAGUAGGGAAUCUUCCACAAUGGGCGAAAGCCUGAUGGAGCAACGCCGCGUGGGUGAAGAAGGUCUUCGGAUCGUAAAACCCUGUUGUUAGAGAAGAAAGUGCGUGAGAGUAACUGUUCACGUUUCGACGGUAUCUAACCAGAAAGCCACGGCUAACUACGUG
rnacentral:rRNA from 1 species